rnacentral:rRNA from 1 species
UGGGGAAUAUUGCACAAUGGGCGGAAGCCUGAUGCAGCGACGCCGCGUGGGGGAUGACGGCCUUCGGGUUGUAAACCUCUUUCAGCUCUGACGAAGUGGCUGGGUUUUCCUGGUUGUGACGGUAGGGGCAGAAGAAGCGCCGGCCAACUACGUGCCAGCAGCCGCGGUAAGACGUAGGGCGCGAGCGUUGUCCGGAUUUAUUGGGCGUAAAGAGCUCGUAGGCGGCUUGUCGCGUCGUCUGUGAAAACCCGUGGCUCAACUGCGGGCUUGCAGUCGAUACGGGCAGGCUGGAGUUCGGUAGGGGAGACUGGAAUUCCUGGUGUAGCGGUGAAAUGCGCAGAUAUCAGGAGGAACACCGGUGGCGAAGGCGGGUCUCUGGGCCGAUACUGACGCUGAGGAGCGAAAGCGUGGGGAGCGAACAG